UUGCUUCGUUUUGAUCAGUGACUCAAGAUGCACAGAAGAGCCAUGGAGGGUUAAACCUUGAAGACUAUUUGCUUCGAUUUCAAAAUCCCGUCCCUGCUUCGAUUGCGACGAAGAAGACAGUUAUUGACUACUAAGGUAUGGAGCCAGCUGGCUGAUGGCGCACGUGGGACUGGCCGGAGGUAGCAGCGGUGUUGGAAGCUGCUGGAAACCUGUUAGGCGCAAGGGAACCUUAGGGUUUCUGCUGAAAAUUUGGUUUAGUUUUGGGCCAUGGGGUGCUGGGCUAUUUGGGUUAAUUGGAUUAAUAAAUGUAAAUGGACUUGACUUUUAAAUUAUUUUGGUUUUAUUAUUUUUCUA